rnacentral:lncRNA from 1 species
UAAAUGCAAAACACAAGAAAACACGUGAAACAAAUGUUUUCAGACAUUGGAUAAGAAGCUGGGGACAGGGAUGCCUCAGAGAAGAGAAACAACUCUCCCACAUCUAGAACGAACAGCCAGACGGCCUCAAAACCUCUGUUUCAACAGCCACAUGGCCUCGAAACCUCUGUGUUUCAACAGCCAGAGGGCCUCGAAACCUCUGUGUUUCAAGAGUCCUUGUACCUGCUGUGAAGUUUGUCAGAGUAAACUUCAGUGUGUGCAAAUCUCAGAGGAGGGCCAGGCUCUGGUGGGUUCUAGGGCCCCCCAACCUGUGCCCAGAUUGGCACAGACUUCCUAAGCAUGAACAUCGUGAUGCAUGGAGAAUAAACUGACAUGAUGGACUUCAUAAAAAUUAAGUUUUUGCUCUUCUAAACAUAGUACUAAUCAAGUAAAAAGGCAGACAAGAGUAAAAUACUUUCAGUACAUAUCUUCAACUCAACGAUCAGACAGACAACUCAGUUUUGUUUUUAAGAUGAAAGAUUUGAACAUUCAUCACAAAAGAAGACAUAAGAAUGGUCAGUAAGCACAAGAAAAUGUAUUUAACAUCAUUAGUUACCAGGAAAGAUAAAUUUAAGCCACAGAGAGAGUUAAGGCUCUGCUACCACGGAGGCCAGGCCGAAAGGCCAAGUGGCGUUUUGGCAGGCGGGCAGCAGGGUGGCACUGCUGGCGAGAGUGCAGAUGGUCCAGCCACUCCAGAAAGCAGGCUGGCAGUUUUUAUGAAAUUAAAAAUUUGCUGCCCCAUGCCCCAGCAACCUCCCUCCUCAGUGUUCACCCAGGAAAAAGGAAAACACUCAUGCUUCCACGCAAACCGACACAGGGACUCUCACCGCUUCAGCUGUGAUCUCCACAGACUGGGAGCUUCCACGCAGACCAGCAGCAGGACUCUCACCGCUUCAGCUGUGAUCUCCACAGACUGGGAAAACACCAACGGCCAUCCACCAGGGGGUGGAAGAGCUGCAUUGUGUCCAUAGUGUGAGACGCUGGCCUGCAGCACAGAGAAAGCAGAGGACACGCUCGGCAAGGUGGGCGAGUCCUGACACCGCUGGCCCGAAGAGACCCACUCGCAGAGAGCGGAGACCACCCAGAGAGAAUAGCCAGGUGUUAGCCUGCGGGGAACAGCCAUUUAUGUGAGACUCAACGGCAGCGAGGGAGGCAGGGGUCUCCCACCUGGCGCAUCACAGGCCUCGUCCUUGGGGGUGACGGAGAUGCUCCGUGUCAUGGUCACACGGCGGUUCCAUGACACUUGUCAAAAUUCAUCACAUGCUGAAAGUUAUACCUCAAGAAAGUAGGUUUAUGAAAAGGAGGCAGCAAUGGGGUUUUUGUUGUUAAAGGUUGAAGAGAUAGGGAGGGGUUGUUCAAAGAAAGUUAACAAAAGUAAUUAAAGAUUUCGAGGGAAGUACAACAGUGUUGUACAAGUUUAACGUAAUAAAGAAAUUAAAGAUUGAAUUUCUGGAUAGAGUUCUCUAAGCAUGUAGAUAUUUAGUGCCCAGCAGUAACUCAUCAAGAAAACAGAAUGAUGUGAAAUAGACUAAAAGUACCUUAGAAGAAAAUGUUUCAUAUAGAACCUACAAUAGUUUUAAAAAUAGAACGGUCUGCAUUUAGUGACCGUGGAAUCUCAGUCAUAUUAAAACAGAAUAUAACCUUUAGGUAUCCGCAUGUUUCAAGGCUAAAAUAUAACGUGGUGUCAUGGGUGUUUCUGGUUCUCUGCCACGGGGUAACUUUCCCAACUUGAGAUAACUAUGAGAGUGUGUUCUCAUAGGUGACAAUGUCAUUUAACAACAACAAAAAAAACCCCAGCCAAGUGCAGUGGCUCAUGCCUGUAAUCCCAGCACUUUGGGAGGCCGAGUUGGGAAGAUUUCUUGAGACUAGGAGUGUGAGACCAGCCUGGGAAACAUGGUGAGACCCUAUCUCUACAGGAGAACAUUAGCUGGGCAUGGUGGUACACACCCGCGGUCCUAGCUACUCAGGAGGCUGAGGUGAGAGGAUCAGCUGAGCCCAGGAGGUCAAGGCUGCAGUGAGUCAUGAUUGCACCAUUGUACUCCAGCCUGGGCCACAGAGUGAGACCGUGUCU